rnacentral:rRNA from 1 species
CGGGUGAGUAAUGCAUGGGAAUCUGCCCGAUAGAGGGGGAUAGCCCGGGGAAACCCGGAUUAAUACCGCAUAUGCCCUACGGGGAAAAGCAGGGGAUCUUCGGACCUUGCGCUAUCGGAUGAGCCCAUGUCGGAUUAGCUAGUUGGUGAGGUAAGAGCUCACCAAGGCGACGAUCCGUAGCUGGUCUGAGAGGAUGAUCAGCCACACUGGGACUGAGACACGGCCCAGACUCC